GACGAACGCUGGCGGCGUGCCUAAUACAUGCAAGUUGAGCGCUGAAGGUUGGUACUUGUACCAACUGGAUGAGCAGCGAACGGGUGAGUAACGCGUGGGGAAUCUGCCUUUGAGCGGGGGACAACAUUUGGAAACGAAUGCUAAUACCGCAUAAAAACUUUAAACACAAGUUUUAAGUUUGAAAGAUGCAAUUGCAUUACUCAAAGAUGAUCCCGCGUUGUAUUAGCUAGUUGGUGAGGUAAAGGCUCACCAAGGCGAUGAUACAUAGCCGACCUGAGAGGGUGAUCGGCCACAUUGGGACUGAGACACGGCCCAAACUCCUACGGGAGGCAGCAGUAGGGAAUCUUCGGCAAUGGACGAAAGUCUGACCGAGCAACGCCGCGUGAGUGAAGAAGGUUUUCGGAUCGUAAAACUCUGUUGGUAGAGAAGAACGUUGGUGAGAGUGGAAAGCUCAUCAAGUGACGGUAACUACCCAGAAAGGGACGGCUAACUACGUG
rnacentral:rRNA from 1 species